rnacentral:pre_miRNA from 1 species
CUGUGUGUGUGAGAAAGGAAAGGCUGAGGGCAUCUCCGCCAUGGCCUGGGAUCUGCUCUUCCUCACCCUCUUGGCUCACUGCACAGGUGA